rnacentral:rRNA from 1 species
ACGCUCGACACCUACGGAAGGCAGCAGUGGGGGAUAUUGCACAAUGGGGGGAACCCUGAUGCAGCGACGCCGCGUGAGGGAAGAAGGUUUUCGGAUUGUAAACCUCUGUCCUCAGGGAAGAAGAUGACGGUACCUGAGGAGGAAGCCACGGCUAACUACGUGCCAACAGCCGCGGUAAUCUGAGCGGGCUGGCAAGGC